UACGAAGGGUGCAAACGUUGCUCGGAAUUAUUGGGCGUAAAGCGCACGUAGGCGGCUUUGCAAGUCGGAUGUGAAAUCCCUCGGCUCAACCAAGGAAGUGCAUCCGAAACUGCAGAGCUUGAGUACCAAAGAGGAUCGCGGAAUUCCCGGUGUAGAGGUGAAAUUCGUAGAUAUCGGAAGGAACACCAGUGGCGAAAGCGGCUUCCUGGUCCAGCACCGACGUUCAGGCACGAAAGCGUGGGGAGCAAACAGG
rnacentral:rRNA from 1 species